rnacentral:rRNA from 1 species
UACGAAGGGGGCUAGCGUUGUUCGGAAUUACUGGGCGUAAAGCGCUCGCAGGCGGAUCGAUAAGUCGGGGGUGAAAUCCCGGGGCUUAACCUCGGAAUUGCCUUCGAUACUGUCAAUCUAGAGUCCGGGAGAGGUGAGUGGAAUUCCGGGUGUAGUGGUGAAAUGCGUAGAGAUCCGGAGGAACACCAGUGGCGAAGGCGACACGCUGGGCCGUACCUGACGCUAAAGCGCGACAGCAUGGGGAGCAAACGGG